rnacentral:rRNA from 1 species
AAUCUUCCGCAAUGGGCGCAAGCCUGACGGAGCAAUGCCGCGUGAGUGAAGAAGGUCUUCGGAUUGUAAAACUCUGUCCAUGGGGAAGAUAAUGACUGUACCCGUGGAGGAAGCCUCUGCUAACUACGUGCCAGCAGCCGCGGUAAAACGUAGGGGGCAAGGCUUGUCCGGAAUUACUGGGCGUAAAGUGCGUGUAGGCGGCUAUUCAAGUCAAUAGUGAAGCCAGACGGCUCAACCGUCGGCUUGCUGUCGAAACUGAAUGGGUUGAGUGCAGGAGAGGAGAGUGGAAGUCCCAGUGUAGCGGUGAAAUGCGUAGAUACUAGGAGGAACACCAGUGGCGAAGGCGGCUCUCUGGCCUGCAACUGACGCUGAGGCGCGAAAGCGUGGGUAGCGAAC